GCGAAUGUAGCUCAUCUGGUUAGAGCGCCGGUUUGUGGUACCGGAGGUAGCGGGUUCAAUCCCCGUCAUUCGCCCCA
rnacentral:tRNA from 1 species